rnacentral:rRNA from 1 species
CCUACGGGUGGCUGCAGUGAGGAAUAUUGGUCAAUGGCCGGAAGGCUGAACCAGCCAAGCCGCGUGAGGGAGGAAGGCGCAGAGCGUCGCAGACCUCUUUUGCCGGGGGACAAAAGGCCGGACGGGUCCGGUUCUGAGGGUACCCGGAGAAAAAGCAUCGGCUAACUCCGUGCCAGCAGCCGCGGUAAUACGGAGGAUGCGAGCGUUAUCCGGAUUCAUUGGGUUUAAAGGGGGCGCAGGCGGGCCUUUAAGCCGGCGGUGAAAUCGCGGGGCUCAACCCCCGGACUGCUCUGGAAACUGUACGGCUGGAGUGCAGGAGAGGUAAGUGGAAUUCCUAGUGUAGCGGUGAAAUGCGUAGAUAUUAGGAGGAACACCAGUGGCGAAGGCGGCUUACUGGACUGUAACUGACGUUGAGGCUCGAAAGCGUGGGGAGCAAACAGGAUUAGAUACCCCAGUAGUC